GACGAACGCUGGCGGCGUGCUUAACACAUGCAAGUCGAACGGUAAGGCCCUUCGGGGUACACGAGUGGCGAACGGGUGAGUAACACGUGGGUGAUCUGCCCUGCACUUCGGGAUAAGCCUGGGAAACUGGGUCUAAUACCGGAUAGGACCACUGCCUGCAUGGGUGGUGGUGGAAAGCUUUUGCGGUGUGGGAUGGGCCCGCGGCCUAUCAGCUUGUUGGUGGGGCGAUGGCCUACCAAGGCGACGACGGGUAGCCGGCCUGAGAGGGUGACCGGCCACACUGGGACUGAGAUACGGCCCAGACUCCUACGGGAGACAGCAGGGGGGAAUAUUGCACAAUGGGCGCAAGCCUGAUGCAGCGACGCCGCGUGAGGGAUGACGGCCUUCGGGUUGUAAACCUCUUUCAGCACCGACGAAGCGCAAGUGACGGUAGGUGCAGAAGAAGGACCGGCCAACUACGUGCCAGCCGCCGCGGUAA
rnacentral:rRNA from 1 species